rnacentral:lncRNA from 1 species
AUUUGGUUAAGAUUUAUUCAGGAUUUGAUUAGGAUUUGAUUAGAAUUUGUUAGAAUUUGAUUAAGAUUUGGUUAAGAUUUGUUAGGAUCUGACUAGGAUUUAGUUAGAAUUUGUUUAGAACUUCACUAGGAUUUAUUUAGAAUUUGGUUAGGAUUUAUUUAGAGUUUUUUUAGGAUUUAUUUAGAUUUUAUUUAAGAUUUGACUAGGAUUUAUUUAGGAUUUGGUUAAGGUUUGUUUAGGAUUUGACUAAGAAAUUGAUUAGGAUUUUUUAGG